UGAACGCUGGCGGCGUGCCUAAUACAUGCAAGUCGAGCGAACAGAUGAGGAGCUUGCUCCUCUGACGUUAGCGGCGGACGGGUGAGUAACACGUGGAUAACCUACCUAUAAGACUGGGAUAACUUCGGGAAACCGGAGCUAAUACCGGAUAAUAUAUUGAACCGCAUGGUUCAAUAGUGAAAGACGGUUUUGCUGUCACUUAUAGAUGGAUCCGCGCCGCAUUAGCUAGUUGGUAAGGUAACGGCUUACCAAGGCAACGAUGCGAAGCCGACCUGAGAGGGUGAUCGGCCACACUGGAACUGAGACACGGUCCAGACUCCUACGGGAGGCAGCAGUAGGGAAUCUUCCGCAAUGGGCGAAAGCCUGACGGAGCAACGCCGCGUGAGUGAUGAAGGUCUUCGGAUCGUAAAACUCUGUUAUUAGGGAAGAACAAAUGUGUAAGUAACUAUGCACGUCUUGACGGUACCUAAUCAGAAAGCCACGGCUAACUACGUG
rnacentral:rRNA from 1 species